rnacentral:misc_RNA from 1 species
UUAUGAUCCUGAGAAAGAAGAGCUGAGGUAUGCUGGAAGACUCUUUGUAAAGGGAACGAGUAAUCCAACUGAAAUUUUGAACAAACUAAAUGAAAUGGCUGGCUAUGCCCCUGAUCAAGAGAUUGAACUAUAUGAGGAAAUAAAAUUUGAACCGAUUGUCUUGUGUGAACCCAUUGACAAGAAAUUUGCUUUCCGAACGAACCAGCUUGAGGAUGGUGAUAUAGUAUGCUAUCAGAAAUCCCUUUCUCCUGAAAGUCGCCAGAAGUUACGGUAUCCAGAUGUUCCUUCUUUCCUGGAGUAUGUUCAAAAUCGCCAGGUGGUUCACUUCCGAUCCUUAGAAAAGUUGAAGGAGGAUGAUUUCUGUUUAGAGCUGUCAAAGAUUAAUACAUAUGAUGAAGUUGUGGAAAGAGUAGCUCAGCGACUUGGCUUGGAUGAUCCAUCCAAAAUAAGGCUCACACCCCAUAAUUGUUACUCUCAGCAACCUAAACCCCAGCCAAUCAAGUACAGAGGUGUUGACACCCUUGGA